rnacentral:lncRNA from 1 species
UGAUGACUCAAAAUUUUAUUUUUGAGUUAUUGAGUAUUUUGUAAAAAAGGGGAGUUUUUUUUUUACAUGUCGCGCCGUAUCUCAAAAACAAUUUAUGAUUAUUGCUUGAAACUGUACACACUUCUUUGUUAUACUAAUUUAAAGAUCUGUAUACUUUUUGGUUUGAUUCAAAAUUUUAUUUUAGUGAUAUUUGUAAAAAAAAAACAGGGUGUGGGGUUUCACAUGUCCCGCCGUGUCUCAAAAACAAUAAAUGGUUAUUGCUUAAAACUUCCUCAGAAACUAUUUAUGAUUAUUGCAUAAAACUUCCACACAAGACGUCGGGCGUAUCAUGCGCUCAUGGCGCAGAUGUUUAUUUAUAU